AUUCCAUGAUGAGGACAAUCUAAGAUGUAUCCUUGUAAACACUCCCAUGCUUCUGAAAUGGUUUCUACUUCUGCUGUUGAAAACUAGUAAUCUUUCCAAUUAUGGCAUU
rnacentral:snoRNA from 1 species